AAUUUCAGAAAUCUAUUUAAUUUGGAUUAUAAAGCGACAAUAUUCCCGAAAAUCGAAUACCUUUCAAAUAGCGCCGCGCCAAACACAAUAACGACGUCAACGAAGACCAAUCAAGAAAAGCACAAGAGAAAUAGCCCACAAUAACACCAACAACAACAAAAAA
rnacentral:sRNA from 1 species